CUACCCUCGAGCGAGUCCAGCAUCUAGGUGCUGGGCCUCGCCCGGCGUUGGAGCACUACGGGAAGCCCUGUGCUGUCCCCCGUAGGCCCCGAAAUGAAGUGGCGGUCCUGCCGCGGCGCCCCCUGCGUAGUAUAACAGCUCGCUUCGGGACCCGGUGGAGGCCUGCCGUAAAACCUAUACUCUCUAA
rnacentral:misc_RNA from 1 species